rnacentral:rRNA from 1 species
AUGGGACGCACGGUGGUUUCCGACGAGGAAGAGGACGACUUCAUCGAGGCCGAGGAAGAGGACGAGCCGCGGCCGUCGCGGAGGGCCAGGGAUGAUGACGACGAGCAGGACGACGACGAUGAGGAGGAUGAUGAUGAAGAUGAGGGACAGAAUGAGUACGAGAAGGAUGGCUUCAUAGUGGAUGAUGCGGAUGAAGACGAGGAAGAGGAGGAGGAGGAGGCGAGAGCUAGUGAUGAUGAAAGACGCAAGAAGAAAAAGAAAAGAAAGAAGAAGAGAGAGACGGAGGAUUUCGAGCUUGAUGAGGAUGACUACAUGUUGCUCCAGGAUAAUAACAUUACUGGCAUCACUCGUCCAAAGCCUCCUGAAAAUAAGUUUAAGCGGUUGAAGAAGGCAGGACGGGAAUCUGAAAUGGAUGGGCGCUCUGGCUUCUCCGAUCAUGACGGAGCAGGAAAAGGCCGGACUGCUGAGGAGACAGUUCGUAGCUCCUUGUUUGGUAAUGAAGAACCGUUUGAGGAGGAUUUUGUUGAGGAGGAUCAGCAGGUAGAUGAAGAUGAGGUUGGUGAAGAUGAUAUGGAUGAUGAAAUGGGCGAUUUCAUUGUGGACGAAGAGGAAAUCGAUGUGAAUGGCCAAGUUGUGAAAAGGAAGAAGGUUAAAAGAAAGCCUCUGCGACAAGCUGCAGGUGUAUCAUCAUCUGCGCUACAAGAGGCCCAUGAUAUAUUUGGGGAUGUUGAUGAGCUAUUAGCACUAAGAAAACAAGAGCUUGAGAGGGAUGCUAUUAAUUCCGGCGAGUUGAGAGGAAACAGGCUUGAAGAUGAGUUUGAACCAUUUAUUCUCGCAGAAAAGUAUAUGACACCAAAGGAUGAGCAGAUAAAAGAAACUGAUAUACCUGAGAGGAUCCAGCUGUCUGAAGAGUUAACUGGCAAUCCUAUAGAUGGCGAUGCAAAUAGAGAGGAAGAAAGUGUAUGGAUACACAACCAACUAAUCGGGGAUGCAUUUCUGUCCCUUUUUGGCAAUGGGCAAUUGAACAAGGAGAUUGAUCAGAGUGACAUCGUGAAUGUCUUGAACAUGCUACAUACCCACAAAUUUGAAGUUCCAUUCAUUGCAAUGUAUAGGAAGGAAAGUUGCAUGAGUCUGAUAAAAGAUAACGAUGCCAAUGAACAAGCAAAUGAAGAAGAUACGCGUAAAAUGAAGUGGCAUAAGCUGCUUUGGGCUGUUCAGACCUUAGACAGAAAGUGGCUUCUUCUUCAGAAGCGCAAGGUUGCUUUGCAGAUUUAUUAUGAGAGAAGAUAUGAUGACGAGAAACGAAGAAUAGAUGAUGUUACAAGGCAGGCACUUAAUCGACAACUCUACCACUCUAUCAUUGAUGCACUGAAGGAAGCAAAAUCAGAGAAAGAAGUGGAGGAUGUUGACGCGAAAUUCAAUUUACAUUUCCCUCCUGGUGAAGUUGAAGAAGUAGGUCAAUUUAAGCGACCAAAAAGGAAAUCCUUGUACAGUAUUUGUCACAAGGCAGGGUUGUGGGAGGUUGCUAACCAAUUUGGUCGGAGUGCUGAGCAAUUAGGCCAACAUCUAACUUUAACGAGGAUACCUGAAGCGGGCGAGCUUGACAGUGGGAAAGAUUCUCCUGAAGAUGUUGCUGCAAAUUUCACAUGCGCAAUGUUUGAAACGUCACAAGAUGUCCUUCGGGGUGCCAGACACAUGGCAGCAGUUGAGAUCGGUUGUGAGCCUAUUGUAAAAAAGCAUAUCAGGGGUAUCUUCAUGGAUAAAGCAGUUGUAUCAACAAAGCCCACACCUGAGGGCAGUUCGGUCAUAGAUGCUUACCACCAAUUAUCAGGUGUGGAGUGGCUGCAAGAGAAACCACUAAGCAAGUUUGGAGAUGCACAGUGGCUUCUUAUUCAGAAAGCAGAGGAAGAAAAGCUUCUCAAGGUUACCAUAACAUUGCCAGAGGAUGCAAAGAAAGCGCUCAUGUCUGAGGCUCGUGAGAAUUACUUAAGUGACUGUGUCAGCAAGUCUGCACAACUGUGGGAUGAGCAACGGAAGAUGAUACUGGAUGAUGCCUUCUUGAAUUUUCUACUUCCAGCAAUGGAAAAGGAAGCUCGAUCACUGUUGACAGCAAAAGCCAAAUGUUUUUUGUCUAUGGAAUAUGGGAAACAGUUCUGGGACAAAGUUUCUCUUGCUCCUUGGAAGAAGAAGGAUGCGGACAAGAAGGAUGCGGACAUUGAUCUGGAUGAUGAGUCAGAGUUACGAGUAAUGGCCUGCUGCUGGGGUCCUGGGAAGCCAGCAACCACAUUUGUAAUGCUAGACUCAUCAGGAGAAUUGGUUGAUGUUCUGUAUGCUGGUUCUAUUAGUCUUAGAUCUCAAGGUGUUGCUGAACAGCAGCGUAAGAGAAAUGACCAGCAGAGGGUUCUGAAGUUCAUGACUGACCAUUCGCCACAUGUUGUGUGUGUAGGAGCUUCGAAUUUGAACUGCAGACAACUCAAGGAUGAUAUUUAUGAGGUUAUUUUCAAAAUGGUGGAAGACCACCCAAGAGAUGUGAACCCACAAAUGGAAAAUUUCAGCAUUGUCUAUGGUGAUGAAUCUGUGCCUCGCUUGUACGAGAACUCUCGAAUAUCUUCAGAUCAGCUGCCUGCCCAGUCAGCUAUCGUGAAGCGUGCUGUGGCCCUUGGUCGGUACUUGCAAAAUCCUUUGGCGAUGGUUGCAACACUUUGUGGACCCGGGAAAGAGAUACUGUCAUGGAAACUACACCCCCUUGAACAGUUCCUUACUCCCGAUGAGAAGUAUGAAGUUGUUGAGCAAGUAAUGGUCGAUGCGACAAAUCAGAUCGGCUUUGAUGUUAAUCUUGCUGCUAGCCAUGAGUGGCAUUUUUCCACUUUGCAGUUUGUUGCUGGUCUGGGACCGCGCAAAGCUUCAGCUUUGCAGAAGGAGUUGGUAAGAGAGGGAUCCAUUUUUAGUCGCAAGGAGCUGGUGAAACCCUUAGGCAGGAAAGUAUUCAUGAAUGCGUCUGGGUUUUUACGCGUCCGACGAAGUGGUGCUGCUGCAGCUAGUGCCCAGAUCAUUGAUCUUCUUGAGGAUACAAGGAUCCAUCCUGAAUCAUAUGCGUUGGCAAAGAAUUUGGCCAAGGAUGUCUGUGCCGGGGAUGGAGUUGAAGCGAAUGAGAUGGAUGAUGAUGAGCAAGAGAUGGCAAUUGAGCAUGUGAGAGAGAAGCAGGAUCAGCUUGACCGUCUUGACAUAGAUGAAUACAGCAGAAGCAUCGGAGAUGAUAAGAGAGAAACGCUGAUUGACAUAAAGUUGGAGCUACUGUGUGGUUUCAAAGAUCGGAGGACCCCUUAUGCCGAGCCAAGUCCAGAUGAGGAGUUCUGGUUGCUUUCUGGUGAAACUGAGGACAACAUAUCAGAUGGAAGGAUUGUUCAAGUAACUGUUCGGCAUAUACAAGAUAACCGAAUAAUUUGUACCUUUGAUUCUGGGUUAAAAGCCAUAGUUAUGGGAGACAACUAUUCUGAUGAUGGCUUUGAUCUAGAAUCACUGCAGUUACAUGAAGGCGAUGUAUUAACUGGCAAAAUUAAGAAUGUGAAUAAAAAUAGGUUCAUAGUUUACCUAACAUGCAAGCAGAGUGAAAUAAAUAGAUGGCCAUUCUCGAGAAGUAACCAUGAUCCAUACUAUCGUCCACAAAAGGUGGUUCUGGCCCAGGAUGACAAGGCUCGGAAACAAAAGGAAGCGAAGAAACAUUUCAAGCCCAGGAUGAUUGUUCAUCCUCACUUUCAGAAUUUGACGGCGGAAGAGGCAAUGCAGUUCCUGGGGGACAAAGAGCCUGGCGAGAAAGUCAUUCGGCCUAGCUCUAGGGGCCCAUCAUUUCUAACGCUUACCCUGAAGAUAUUUGAUGGUGUCUUUGCACACAAGGAGAUAACCGAAAGUGGAAAGGAUCAUAAAGAUAUUACAAGUUUGCUUCGCCUCGGAAAAACACUGACCAUUGGUGAUGAAACUUUUGAAGAUCUUGAUGAGGUAAUAGACCGAUAUGUGGAUCCAUUGGUAGGCCACCUGAAAAGCAUGCUCUCUUAUCGCAAAUUCAGGAAAGGGUUAAAAGGCGAAGUUGAUGAUAUGUUGAGGGCUGAGAAAUCAGAGAAUCCAAUGAGAAUAGUCUAUUGUUUUGGCAUAUCUCAUGAACAUCCAGGCACCUUCAUAUUAUCUUACAUCAGGAGUACAAACCCACAUCAUGAGUAUGUUGGGUUAUACCCAAAGGGCUUCAGAUUCCGGAAGAAAGAUUUUGACAGCAUUGAUCGUCUUGUGUCAUAUUUUCAAAAACAUAUUGACAAACCACCACCUGAUGCUGGCCCUUCAAUGCGAAAUGUUGCGGCAAUGGUACCUAUGAAAAAUUCAGCUUGGGGUUCUGGUGGUGCGAAUGACGGAAGGAGGGGAGAUGGUGAUAAUGAUAGGGACAGACCUUUUUCUGGAAGAUCAGGAGGCAGGUUUGAUUCAAGGAACAGUUCUGGCGGCCGUGGACGUGGGCGUGGUCGGGGCCGAGGUAACUUUGGCAGUGAUGGUGAUGGUGGCGGUGGUGGAGGAUGGACUGAUAACAUAGGCAGUGGGGGAGGUGCGUGGGGCACUGGCGGAGGAUCUGGAGGCGGGGAUGCUGGAUGGGGUGGUGGGGGCGACAGCAACCGUGGCGGCGGUGGGGAUGGAGGCUGGGGCGCACCUGCUGCUGCCGCUGCCACUGACGGUGGCACAGGAGGCUGGGGUACACCUGCUGCCGCUGCUGCCACUGACGGUGGUGCCGGAGGCUGGGGAGCAGCUACUACUCCUGGUGCUGCUGGUGACGACUCAGGAUGGGGCAGCGCCAAGAAGGCCGUCCCAGCACAGGAUUCUGGAGGUGGGUGGGGGUCUGGCGGUGGGGGCUGGUGA